AGCGAACGCUGGCGGCAGGCCUAACACAUGCAAGUCGAACGAACCUUUCGGGGUUAGUGGCGGACGGGUGAGUAACACGUGGGAACGUGCCUUUAGGUUCGGAAUAACUCAGGGAAACUUGUGCUAAUACCGAAUGUGCCCUUCGGGGGAAAGAUUAAUCGCCUUUAGAGCGGCCCGCGUCUGAUUAGCUAGUUGGUUGAGGUAAUGGCUCACCAAGGCGACGAUCAGUAGCUGGUCUGAGAGGAUGAUCAGCCACAUUGGGACUGAGACACGGCCCAAACUCCUACGGGAGGCAGCAGUGGGGAAUCUUGCGCAAUGGGCGAAAGCCUGACGCAGCCAUGCCGCGUGAAUGAUGAAGAUCUUAGGAUUGUAAAAUUCUUUCACCGGGGACGAUAAUGACGGUACCCGGAGAAGAAGCCCCGGCUAACUUCGUG
rnacentral:rRNA from 1 species